GACUCUCGGCAACGGAUAUCUCGGCUCUCGCAUCGAUGAAGAACGUAGCGAAAUGCGAUACUUGGUGUGAAUUGCAGAAUCCCGUGAACCAUCGAGUCUUUGAACGCAAGUUGCGCCCGAAGCCAUUAGGCUGAGGGCACGCCUGCCUGGGUGUCACAC
rnacentral:rRNA from 1 species